GUGACGCCACAGCCACGAGGUGCCCCGAGGCCCGGUCGAGACAAGCCGGUGCUGAGGGGAGAAUCUGGGAAGCCGGUGAGAGUCCGGCACAGGCCCGCUGCGGUGACCUGGAGGGUGCGAGAGCGCUGGUCCAGGAAGUCCGAAGACCGGCCUCGAGGCGCCUAUCCGA
rnacentral:ncRNA from 2 species